rnacentral:rRNA from 1 species
AUCAAAACAUGUCUUAUUGAAUAAUAAUUUUAAGUCAAUCUGCCCAAUGAAUAAUAAUUUAAAUGGCUGCAGUAUACUGACUGUACAAAGGUAGCAUAAUCAAUUGAUUUUUAAAUGGAAUCUGGAAUGAAAGGAUUAAUGAAAUAUAUACUGUCUCAUAUUUAUUUUAUGAAUUUAAAAUUUUAAUAAAAAUGUUAAAAUUUUUUUAUGGGACGAUAAGACCCUAUAGAAUUUUAUAUUAAUUUAAUUUUGUAUUUAACUAUAAAAUUUAAUUUAAUAUUUAGUUGGGAGAAUUAUUAAAUUUAAAAAAUUUUAAUUUUGGAAAACUUUAAUUAAAGAAAAAAUUUUGAUCUUUAAUUUAAAAUUAAUAGAAUAAAUUACCUUAGGGAUAACAGCGUUAUAUUUUUUUAUAGAUCGUAUAGAAAAAAAUGAUUGCGACCUCGAUGUUGAAUUAAGAUAAAUUUUAAAUGUAGAAAUUUAAUAAUUAAGUCUGUUCGACUUUUAAAAUCUUACAUGAUUUGAGUUCAAAUCGACGUAAGUCAGAUU